CGUGAGAUGUUGGUUAAGUCCGUAACGAGCGCAACCUGUCCUUAGUUACCAGCACGUUAUGGUGGCACUCUAAGGAGACUGCCGGUGACAAACCGGAGGAAGGUGGGGAUGACGUCAAGUCAUCAUGGCCCUUACGGCCUGGGCUACACACGUGCUACAAUGGUCGGUACAAAGGGUUGCCAAGCCGCGAGGUGGAGCUAAUCCCAUAAAACCGAUCGUAGUCCGGAUCGCAGUCUGCAACUCGACUGCGUGAAGUCGGAAUCGCUAGUAAUCGUGAAUCAGAAUGUCACGGUGAAUACGUUCCCGGGCCUU
rnacentral:rRNA from 1 species